UGGAUUAGGGACAACAAUUGGACCAUCGAUCAGAUCCUCGAAGAGUUCCCUCACCUAAUGACCAAAGGCAUGAUUGCACAGGCUUGUCCUGCAUGGGGAUGCUGCAUCAAAGUUGUUUGAAACUUGGUCACGUGAAAUGCCAGGAGGGGAGUCUAAAAUGGUAAAGUUUAUUCAAAGUAGAAUACUUGCUUGCAAGUAGAGCUAAUGGCUCUUAAUAGCAGCUUUUUAAUAGGAAUUUGAAUUUGUUCACUAUAGACCUGUUGAAUGUUCAGCCAGUUCAUUCGUAAUUGUUGUUUUGCUCUGAAUGUUUUCCUACCUGAGUAAUAUGAACUGCACCAGUUCCACUAUAUUGUUGAUAUAAUAAAUUUUUUUCAAAGAUUCCAUUAUGUUGUUUUGUUUUUGUAUUGUUUAAGUGUUUAUUAAAUAAUAUAUGCAUACA